UACUUGACAUCCAGCGAACUUUCCAGAGAUGGAUUGGUGCCUUCGGGAACGCUGAGACAGGUGCUGCAUGGCUGUCGUCAGCUCGUGUUGUGAAAUGUUGGGUUAAGUCCGCAACGAGCGCAACCCUUAUCCUUUGUUGCCAGCGAUUCGGUCGGGAACUCAAAGGAGACUGCCGGUGAUAAACCGGAGGAAGGUGGGGAUGACGUCAAGUCAUCAUGGCCCUUACGAGUAGGGCUACACACGUGCUACAAUGGCGCAUACAAAGAGAAGCGACCUCGCGAGAGCAAGCGGACCUCAUAAAGUGCGUCGUAGUCCGGAUCGGAGUCUGCAACUCGACUCCGUGAAGUCGGAAUCGCUAGUAAUCGUGGAUCAGAAUGCCACGGUGAAUACGUUCCCGGGCCUUGUACACACCGCCCGUCACACCAUGGGAGUGGGUUGCAAAAGAAGUAGGUAGCUUAACCCUCGGGAGGGCGCUUACCACUUUGUGAUUCAUGACUGGGGUGAAGUCGUAACAAGGUAAGCGUACGUGU
rnacentral:rRNA from 1 species